UACGAAGGGGGCUAGCGUUGCUCGGAAUUACUGGGCGUAAAGGGCGCGUAGGCGGAUGUCUAAGUUGGGGGUGAAAUCCCGGGGCUCAACCUCGGAACCGCCUUCAAUACUGGAUAUCUUGAGUUCGGGAGAGGUGAGUGGAAUGCCGAGUGUAGAGGUGAAAUUCGUAGAUAUUCGGCGGAACACCAGUGGCGAAGGCGACUCACUGGCCCGAUACUGACGCUGAGGCGCGAAAAGCGUGGGGAGCAAACAGGG
rnacentral:rRNA from 1 species